rnacentral:rRNA from 1 species
CAGUAGGGAAUCUUCCACAAUGGGCGCAAGCCUGAUGGAGCAACACCGCGUGAGUGAAGAAGGGUUUCGGCUCGUAAAGCUCUGUUGUUGGAGAAGAACGUGCGUGAGAGCAACUGUUCACUCAGUGACUGUCUCUAACCAGAAAGUCACGGCUAACUACGUGCCAGCACCCGCGGUAAUACGUAGGUGGCCAGCGUUAUCCGGCUUUAUUGGGCGUAAAGCGAGCGCAGGGGGGUGGCUAGGUCUGAUGUGAAAGCCUUCGGCUUAACCGAAGGAGUGCAGCGGAAACCGGGCGACUUGAGUGGAGAAGAGGACAGGGGAACUCCAGGUGUAGCGGUGGAAUGCGUAGAUAUAUGGAAGAACACCAGUGGCGAAGGCGGCUGUCUGGUCUGCAACUGACGCUGAGGCUCGAAAGCAUGGGUAGCGAACAGGAUUAGAUACCCCAGUAGUC